rnacentral:rRNA from 1 species
UACGAAGGGUGCAAGCGUUAAUCGGAAUUACUGGGCGUAAAGGGUGCGUAGGCGGUUGUUUAGGUCUGUCGUGAAAUCCCCGGGCUCAACCUGGGAAUGGCGAUGGAUACUGGCGAGCUAGAGUGUGUCAGAGGAUGGUGGAAUUCCCGGUGUAGCGGUGAAAUGCGUAGAGAUCGGGAGGAACAUCAGUGGCGAAGGCGGCCAUCUGGGACAACACUGACGCUGAAGCACGAAAGCGUGGGGAGCAAACAGG